rnacentral:rRNA from 1 species
CUUGCUCCACCGGAAAAAGAAGAGUGGCGAACGGGUGAGUAACACGUGGGUAACCUGCCCAUCAGAAGGGGAUAACACUUGGAAACAGGUGCUAAUACCGUAUAACAAUCGAAACCGCAUGGUUUUGAUUUGAAAGGCGCUUUCGGGUGUCGCUGAUGGAUGGACCCGCGGUGCAUUAGCUAGUUGGUGAGGUAACGGCUCACCAAGGCCACGAUGCAUAGCCGACCUGAGAGGGUGAUCGGCCACAUUGGGACUGAGACACGGCCCAAACUCCUACGGGAGGCAGCAGUAGGGAAUCUUCGGCAAUGGACGAAAGUCUGACCGAGCAACGCCGCGUGAGUGAAGAAGGUUUUCGGAUCGUAAAACUCUGUUGUUAGAGAAGAACAAGGAUGAGAGUAACUGUUCAUCCCUUGACGGUAUCUAACCAGAAAGCCACGGCUAACUACGUGCCAGCAGCCGCGGUAAUACGUAGGUGGCAAGCGUUGUCCGGAUUUAUUGGGCGUAAAGCGAGCGCAGGCGGUUUCUUAAGUCUGAUGUGAAAGCCCCCGGCUCAACCGGGGAGGGUCAUUGGAAACUGGGAGACUUGAGUGCA